rnacentral:rRNA from 1 species
UACGGGGGGGGCAAGCGUUGUUCGGAAUUACUGGGCGUAAAGGGCUCGUAGGCGGCCAACUAAGUCAGACGUGAAAUCCCUCGGCUUAACCGGGGAACUGCGUCUGAUACUGGAUGGCUUGAGUUUGGGAGAGGGAUGCGGAAUUCCAGGUGUAGCGGUGAAAUGCGUAGAUAUCUGGAGGAACACCGGUGGCGAAGGCGGCAUCCUGGACCAACACUGACGCUGAGUGAGCGAAAGCCAAGGGAGCAAACGGG